AUCCAGCUGACGAAUCUGAAAUAGGACGAAACGUUCGUCCUGGAU
rnacentral:hammerhead_ribozyme from 1 species